rnacentral:rRNA from 1 species
AACGAACGCUGGCGGCAGGCUUAACACAUGCAAGUCGAACGCCCCGCAAGGGGAGUGGCAGACGGGUGAGUAACGCGUGGGAACAUACCCUUUUCUACGGAAUAGCUCUGGGAAACUGGAAUUAAUACCGUAUACGCCCUACGGGGGAAAGAUUUAUCGGGGAAGGAUUGGCCCGCGUUGGAUUAGCUAGUUGGUGGGGUAAAGGCCUACCAAGGCGACGAUCCAUAGCUGGUCUGAGAGGAUGAUCAGCCACAUUGGGACUGAGACACGGCCCAAACUCCUACGGGAGGCAGCAGUGGGGAAUAUUGGACGAUGGGCGCAAGCCUGAUCCAGCCAUGCCGGGUGAGUGAUGAAGGCCUUAGGGUUGUAAAGCUCUUUCACCGAUGAAGAUAAUGACGGUAGUCGGAGAAGAAGCCCCGGCUAACUUCGUGCCAGCCGCCGCCGUAAAAC